rnacentral:lncRNA from 1 species
CUCAUAUAUGUACCACAUCUUAUUAUAUCUAUCAAGUCAAAUUACAGAACAGACGAGGUACAAGUUUUACACUUGGAAACAUUGCAUCAUAUAAAUUCAUUGUAAAAAGAAAAUCAAUUCACAAAAAACAUGGGUUUCAAGAACAAUCCUGAUCUUAAUAGCUAGUUCACAAGCAAUCGCACGCAUUUGUCAACGAAAAUGAUAGGUUAAACCGGAUGUUGUAACUACCUGACCGUGCGUCUGGUCUGACAGUUCUCCUUUACAAUUUGGUCUGACAGUUCUUUACAAUUCUGAUAACUUGACAAAAUUUGGUGAGCAACUGUGGAUUUUGUGGGUAUCCACGAACUACGAAUUCCAAUGUAUAACGAUUACAAAUCUCUGUAAGAACGUAUACAGACUUUGGUAAAAACCACGAAAACAGGUAUCCAGGAACAUGUACAUUUUCUCAAUCCACAACAAAUUUGUUUCCACCAAAAGAAAUGAAACCACAGUAUUACUUAACAAGUAGAUGUGAUGAU